rnacentral:rRNA from 1 species
UGAGGAAUAUUGCACAAUGGAGGAAACUCUGAUGCAGCAACGCCGCGUGGAGGAUGACGCAUUUCGGUGUGUAAACUCCUUUUAAGAGGGAAGAUAAUGACGGUACCUCUUGAAUAAGCACCGGCUAACUCCGUGCCAGCAGCCGCGGUAAUACGGAGGGUGCAAGCGUUACUCGGAAUCACUGGGCGUAAAGGGUGCGUAGGCUGGCUUCUAAGUCAGAUGUGAAAUCCAAUGGCUUAACCAUUGAACUGCAUUUGAAACUGGAAGCCUAGAGUUCAGAAGGGGCAGAUGGAAUUAGUGGUGUAGGGGUAAAAUCCGUAGAUAUCACUAGGAAUAUCAAAAGCGAAGGCGAUCUGCUGGGAUGAUACUGACGCUGAGGCACGAAAGCGUGGGGAGCAAACAG